AGUGGCGAACGGGUGAGUAACACGUAGGUAAUCUACCUUUUAGUUGGGGAUAGCCUGUGGAAACACAGGGUAAUACCGAAUACGGUCUUUACUGUGAAGGUAAAGAAGAAAGAGGCUAAGGCCUCGCUGGAAGUUGAGCCUGCGGCUCAUUAGCUAGUUGGUGGGGUAAAGGCCUACCAAGGCGACGAUGAGUAGCCGGCCUGAGAGGGCGACCGGUCACACUGGGACUGAGACACGGCCCAGACUCCUACGGGAGGCAGCAGCUAAGAAUCUUCCGCAAUGGUCGAAAGGCUGACGGAGCGACGCCGCGUGGACGAAGAAGGCCGGAAGGUUGUAAAGUCCUUUUCUCAGAGAAGAAUAAUGUGUGGAGGGAAUGCCACGCAGAUGACGUUAUCUGAGGAAUAAGCCCCGGCUAAUUACGUGCCAGCAGCCGCGGUAACACGUAAGGGGCAAGCGUUGUUCGGAAUUAUUGGGCGUAAAGGGCGCGUAGGCGGCUUGGCAAGCCUGGUGUGAAAGGCCACAGCUUAACUGUGGGAGUGCGCUGGGAACUGCUUGGCUAGAGUUCAGGAGGGGAAGCUGGAAUUCCUGGUGUAGGGGUGAAAUCUGUAGAUAUCAGGAAGAACACCUGAGGCGAAGGCGAGCUUCUGGCCAUGAACUGACGCUGAGGCGCGAAAGCGUGGGGAGCGAACAGGAUUAGAUACCCU
rnacentral:rRNA from 1 species